GUUAAUCAGUGCAAAUUCAACCCAAAGGUGAGGAAAAGCACUUUCUAAGACAAAGUUGAGUGGAAUAAGAGGCUGUUCAGAUGUGAUUGUGGUGUUUGUCAGAGUUACAGCAAACACAAGAGCUGCUAAGAGGACAAACCACACAUUGGGCAGUGAAGAGCCCAAAGUGACUGAUUGUUCAAGCGUUGAAUUGGAUUAUAGAGGAUUACUGCUCUUAAUGGCUUUAAGAUCUGUUCUCAAACACACAAUGAGAAAUUAACAUUUCUGUGGAAUUGUUUUUAAGACAACAGAACUCUUGACUAACUAAACAUAUGUAGUAUAACUGAAGUAUUCUUGCUUUUCUUUUAAUUUGUACACACUGGCUCUGUAAAAUAAAGCAUGCUUUUUAAGAAUGGCAGAAAUGUGUUCAGAGAUAACCAUCCUAUGCAGUGUUUCCGCAGGUUUUCUAAAGGUAAAUUCAAGACUUUGUAAAGCCUGUCAGAAGAGCAGACGAGGAUCAGCGAGCAGCAGAGUCCAGUCGACGGAACGGAAUGGAAAGGAUGAAAUCACUUCCGUACGACGCUCACGUCCACAUCAUCACACACUUCAGGACCUCCAUCUUCUGCUCACAGACUCAAACAAUCUCUUGUGUGCCAUAAUCUACACCGCGCUCGCCUGCCUGCCGUCUCUCUCGCUCUCUCUCAGAUCAAAGCCCAUGUGAAGUUAUUGGGGAAUUUAUAAGAAACACACGCACCGCUAAAGGCCCGAGAGCAGCUUUUAUUCAGCAGAAGAAUGAAGCUGACGGAGAGAGGAGCUGCAGGAGAGUCUGCCUGUUCUGAAGAGGAAGAUUGAAAUCAAUUAGUGGAGCAUAGAGCGGUGAAAACAUCACAGAUGCUCCAUUCAGCUGGGCAGACAGCAUAAACACACACACACACACACACACACACACACACACACACACACACACACACACACACACACACACACUCACGCACGCACGCACGCACGCACACACACACACGCACUCACACACACACACACACACACACACACACACACACACACACAUAGAC
ensembl:lncRNA